GCCAGGUGUGGUGGCGCAUGCCUGUAGUCCCAGCUACUUGGGAGGCUGAGACUGGAGGAUCUCUUGAAUCCAGGAGUUCUGGGCUGUAGUGCACUGUGCCAAUCCGGUGUCCACACUAAGUUCGGCAUCGAUAUGGUAACCUCCCGGGAGUGGGGGACCACCAGGUUGCCUAAGGAGGGGUGAACUGGCCCAGGUCAGAAAUGGAGCAGGUCAAAACUCCCGUGCCGAUCAGUAGUGGGAUAGUGCCUGUGAAUAGCCACUGCACUCCAGCCUGGGCAACAUAGCGAGACCCCGUCUCC
rnacentral:SRP_RNA from 1 species